AGAUCACUAGGAUUCCCUUGGCAAGGUGCACAAAGCCUUCGUUGGGCUUUCUUUGGACAAGGCUUAGGUCCCAUUUACCUUGACGAUGUCUCUUGUAAUGGACGAGAAAAAGAUAUUCAGCACUGUGCACACAGUGGAAUUGGUCGUCAUAAUUGUGACCAUAAACAAGAUGUCUCUGUUCGUUGCCUUCCAUUCUGGAACAUAACCACGCGACUGGUAGGAGGUCAAACGCCAUAUGAAGGAAGGGUUGAAGUUAGCAACAAUGGCAUUUGGGGAACUGUUUGUGAUGAUGGCUGGGAUGACAAAGAUGCCGCCGUUGUAUGCCGAUCUUUGGGAUAUCCAACACAAAAUGCUACAAGUUUGUGCUGUUCACAUUAUGGACAAGGAUCAGGUCCAAUAUAUUUAGAUAUCGUCAGCUGUAAUGGAACAGAAACAGAUAUUGAACAAUGCCCAAACCUUGGAUGGGGAAUUCAUAAUUGUGGUCAUCAUGAAAAUGCCUCUGUUUCUUGUUCCCCUUAAAUAUAUUUUUAACAUUCUAUGAGCAGAACUCUUCAUUUAAACUAAAAUAACAUUAUAA